GCGCGAAAACUUUACAAUGCUGGCAACAGCGAUAAGGGAACCUCGAGUGCAAGGUUACAAAUCUGGCUGUCGAGAUGCCUAAAAAGCAUUUCAUAGCAAGGGCCGGGCAAGACCGGUGCCAGCCGCCGCGGUAACACCGGCGGCUCGAGUGGUAACCGUUAUUACUGGGUCUAAAGGGUCUGUAGCCGGCCGGAUAAGUCUCUUGAGAAAUCUGGCAGCUUAACUGUCAGGCUUUCAGGAGAUACUGUCUGGCUCGAGGCCGGGAGAGGUGAGAGGUACUUCAGGGGUAGGGGUGAAAUCUUGUAAUCCUUGAAGGACCACCAGUGGCGAAGGCGUCUCACCAGAACGGACCUGACGGCAAGGGACGAAAGCUAGGGGCACGAACC
rnacentral:rRNA from 1 species